CCGCGAGCCGCGGGCCACGUGGCGCCGCACGACCUUGACCACCUCGUCGGUGUCGUCCUCGCUCGACGCGCAAUGGUCGCCCUUGCGCCGCGUGCGCCGUUUUACCUUGACCACCUGGCACUCGGUGCCCGACGAGGAUGACGAUGAACACGAUGAUGAUGAUGACGAAGAAGAGGAUGAACACGAGGAUGACGACGAUGAAUCAAAAGGCAGCGAACAGUCAAAGGACGUUGUGUCGAAACAACUCGACAGGGACGAAAUGCUCGACGGCACGCACGCCGACGUGAUGCUCGACGACACCGCACAACGGCACGGGCUCCACCCGCAGGCCGUGCACAGCGGGUCGCCCACACCGCCCUUGCAGAUGCACCGCUCGCGCCGACAAAUUUCGCACCAGCGGCCGUCGCGAUGAUGGCGGCGAUGCCGGCCGUGGUGGUGAUGACGGCGGCCACGGCCGCAUGCGCACGGGUAUACGCCGCACAGGCUGCAGAUCGACGGGCCGCAUAUGCACUCUGUCUGACGGCACACGCUGCACCACCGGCCGCCGCGGCGCUGUCGGCAUAUGCACACCGUGCGGCAGCAGACCGAGCACACGCUGUAGGGCACACCGCCACCGCAUCCGCAGCCUCCGCGGAAUCCAUAGCCAAAGCCGCCGACGCCGCAGCAGGCUGCCACGCCGGGCGUGCCCACGGCAAACACGGUCGGCGUCGCGGCCGCAUACGUUGCGCCGUACGCGACGCCAUAGGCGGCACUGGCACCGUAGACGGGCACCGCCGCGCCAAAGGCGGUGGCGCCAUAGGCAGGAGCCACCGCACCGAGGACAUGGGUGACGAGGGCCAUCUCCUUGUCGUUGUCUGUUUUUUUAUUCUUGUCUUGCUUUCGCGGGGGAAAGCGCGGCGCCACGAGUUUCUCAGUCUCUGUCGGCCUUUUCACAUCAACACGCUUUUUUCGCUC
rnacentral:lncRNA from 1 species